GCCUGGGUGGCUCAGUGGGUUGAGCAUCUGAUUUCGGCUCAGGUCAUGAUCUCACGGUUUGUGGGUUUGAGCUCCAUGUUGGGCU
rnacentral:tRNA from 1 species